AGCAGUAAGUAGCAGUACUGCUUGAUUAAGUUUCUGAAAGAGGUAUUUGAUUUGGUUCUAGUCUUGGAUGAUCACUCCAUAUGGCUAUGAUUUGUUUUUGGAACUAUUUUAGCCCUUUUCCUCUUUGCUGUCAAUGGAGAGAAAUCAGGACCAUCCUUGCUUUCCUGCAAUGACUGAGUCUGGCUCUAAUGGCAAAUUUUGUGUAAGUCUAAAGCUCCACGAGUGGCUAGAAAAUUAUUGCAGAAACUUAGGGUGGAACUUCAAGGGAAGUUCUUCAAAAUGACAGAAGAGAGAAGUCAUGUUUAAACCUUACCUGCCUUUGAACUUCAUCCAAACAGACAAACCCGGACAAACCAGGACAAACUGAUGUAGUCAUGUCAAAAUCUACAGCUGUAUCUGCUACGUUUGACAUUGAUCUCGGCAUCCUUCUUCAACGGCACCCCAAUUGCAAGCAAGGCAGUCUAUGUUCUGGAUGGCAGACAGUGACCCAACAAAGUGAUGCUGAAUCUCCAUACAAACCAGAAUGGACUGGAUGCUUUCUCUCUCACCAC